CAGUAGCCGCGGGAAUACGUAGGGGGCGAGCGUUGUCCGAAGUUACUGGGCGUAAAGAGCGCGUAGGCUGGUCUUUAAGUGAGUGGUGAAAGGUUCGGGCUCAACCCGGACACUGCCUUUCAUACUGGGGACCUUGAGUGUGGGAGAGGCGAGUGGAAUGGUCGGUGUAGCGGUGAAAUGCGUAGAUAUCGAUCGGAACACCCAUGGCGAAGGCAGCUCGCUGGCCCAACACUGACGCUGAGGAGCGAAAGCGUGGGGAGCGAACAGGAUUAGAUACCCGGGUAGUCCCUGUCUCUUUACA
rnacentral:rRNA from 1 species